AGAGUUUGAUCCUGGCUCAGAACGAACGCUGGCGGCGUGGAUUAGGCAUGCAAGUCGAACGCGAACGUCACCUUCGGGUGGUUAGUAGAGUGGCGAACGGGUGAGUAACGCGUGAGAAACCUGCCUAGAAGUGGGGAAUAACACUCCCAACGGGGUGCUAAUACCGCAUGUGAUGUGAGUGUCGCAUGGCACACACAGGAAAGAUGGCCUCUGCUUGCAAGCUAUCGCUUCUAGAUGGUCUCGCGUCCGAUUAGCUUGUUGGUGGGGUAACGGCUCACCAAGGCGACGAUCGGUAGCUGGUCUGAGAGGAUGGUCAGCCACACUGGGACUGAGAUACGGCCCAGACUCCUACGGGAGGCAGCAGUCGAGAGGCUUUGUCAAUGGGGGAAACCCUGAACAAGCGACGCCGCGUGGGGGAUGACGGCCUUUGGGUUGUAAACCCCUUUUCAGCAGGGACGAAUGUUUUGCGGGUGAAUAAUCCGCUUAGUUGACGGUACCUGCAGAAGAAGCUCCGGCUAACUCCGUGCCAGCAGCCGCGGUAACACGGGGGGAGCGAGCGUUGUUCGGAAUCACUGGGCGUAAAGGGCGUGUAGGCGGUUCGGUAAGUGAGAUGUGAAAGCCCCCGGCUCACCCGGGGAUGUGCAUUUCAUACUGCUGGACUUGAGUACGGAAGAGGAUGGGGGAAUUCCUGGUGUAGCGGUGAAAUGCGUAGAUAUCAGGAGGAACACCGGUGGCGAAGGCGCCCAUCUGGUCCGUUACUGACGCUGAUGCGCGAAAGCUAGGGGAGCGAACGGGAUUAGAUACCCCGGUAGUCCUAGCCGUAAACGGUGGGCACUAGGUGUUGGAGGCAUCGACCCUUCCAGUGCCGCAGCUAACGCAUUAAGUGCCCCGCCUGGGGAGUACGGUCGCAAGACUGAAACUCAAAGGAAUUGACGGGGGCCCGCACAAGCGGUGGAGCAUGUGGUUCAAUUCGACGCAACGCGAAGAACCUUACCCAGGCAUGACAUGCACUGGACCGGUGUGGAAACACACCUUCCCUUCGGGGCUAGUGCACAGGUGCUGCAUGGCUGUCGUCAGCUCGUGUCGUGAGAUGUUGGGUUAAGUCCCGCAACGAGCGCAACCCUUGCCCUUAGUUGCUAACGAGUUAAGUCGAGCACUCUAGGGGGACUGCCGGCGGUAAGCCGGAGGAAGGUGGGGACGACGUCAAGUCCUCAUGGCCCUUACGCCUGGGGCUACACACGUGCUACAAUGACCGACACAGAGGGCUGCGAUACCGCGAGGUGGAGCUAAUCCCAAAAAGUCGGCCUCAGUUCGGAUUGCAGUCUGCAACUCGACUGCAUGAAGGUGGAAUCGCUAGUAAUCGCUGAUCAGCAGGCAGCGGUGAAUACGUUCCCGGGCCUUGUACACACCGCCCGUCAAGCCACGAAAGUUGGCAGUACCCGAAGUCGCCGCGGUAACCCGCAAGGGAGCUAGGCGCCUAAGGUAAGGCUAGCGAUUGGGGCUAAGUCGGAACAAGGUA
rnacentral:rRNA from 1 species